ACGGGUGAGUAACGCGUAAUCAACCUGCCCUUCAGAGGGGGACAACAGUUGGAAACGACUGCUAAUACCGCAUACGAUCUAACCUCGGCAUCGAGGAUAGAUGAAAGGUGGCCUCUAUUUAUAAGCUAUCACUGAAGGAGGGGAUUGCGUCUGAUUAGCUAGUUGGAGGGGUAACGGCCUACCAAGGCGAUGAUCAGUAGCCGGUCUGAGAGGAUGAACGGCCACAUUGGGACUGAGACACGGCCAGACUCCUACGGGAGGCAGCAGUGGGGAAUCUUCCGCAAUGGACGAAAGUCUGACGGAGCAACGCCGCGUGAGUGAUGACGGCCUUCGGGUUGUAAGGCUCUGUUAAUCGGGACGAAGGGCCUUCUUGCGAAUAGUUAGAAGGAUUGACGGUACCGGAAUAGAAAGCCACGGCUAACUACGUGCCAGCAGCCGCGGUAAUACGUAGGUGGCAAGCGUUGUCCGGAAUUAUUGGGCGUAAAGCACGCGCAGGCGGAUUGGUCAGUCUGUCUUAAAAGUUCGGGGCUUAACCCCGUGAUGGGAUGGAAACUGCCAAUCUAGAGUAUCGGAGAGGAAAGUGGAAUUCCUAGUGUAGCGGUGAAAUGCGUAGAUAUUAGGAAGAACACCAGUGGCGAAGGCGACUUUCUGGACGAAAACUGACGCUGAGGCGCGAAAGCCAGGGGAGCGAACGGGAUUAGAUACCCCGGUAGUCCUGGCCGUA
rnacentral:rRNA from 1 species